UCCCUGGUAGCUCAGAUGGUAAAGCAUCUGCCUGCAAUGCAGGAGACCCGGGUUCGAUCCCUGGGUUGGGAA
rnacentral:tRNA from 1 species